UACAGAGGGUGCAAGCGUUAAUCGGAUUUACUGGGCGUAAAGGGCGCGUAGGUGGUUACUUAAGUGAGAUGUGAAAUCCCCGGGCUUAACCUGGGAACUGCAUCUUAUACUGGGUAACUGGAGUACAUUAGAGGGUAGUGGAAUUUCCGGUGUAGCGGUGAAAUGCGUAGAUAUCGGAAGGAACACCAGUGGCGAAGGCGGCUACCUGGAAUGAUACUGACACUGAGGCGCGAGAGCGUGGGGAGCAAACAGG
rnacentral:rRNA from 1 species